GAAGUCUUUCAUGUGUGCUUUUCUCCUGAGUGGUUUCCAGAUUUCACAGGCUGAGUGUAACACUGUGUUUCUGUCUUGUAGAAGGAAAGACUAGCUCGAGGCUACAGCCGAGCUCCUUAAGAGCAGAAAAAGGAAGGCUGCUCCCGUAAUGGGUGUGAAAUACUGACCUUCCAGAAUGGCCAUUUUAAGCAGCUUUUGGGGUUUGUUCCACUGCGGCAAGGAAAGUGUAAUUGUGCUGCCCAGCUCUGUUUGAACAACCUCUCAAAACCAGCCUUGAUCACAGGGAGCUGAGCUCUUUGCCAGCACAGCCCUUGGCAAGGGCUGAUCUCUGAGCGCACGCCUAGUGCUACUGACGGGGCAGGGAUUUAACAGCUCACACAACCAAACCCUCAACUCAGCCUUGUCCUACACCCUCCUCCUCACACAGGGCUGGUGCAUCAUUGCAUGGGAGAUUCAUGCCCUGGCCAGGGAACUGAAUUUUUCUUUUUUCCCCAAGGAAGCAAAGACCAACUCAUCUUGCCAUGGGCAUUAAGGAUCCCAGGUGAACAGCACAAUACAGCCCCAUGUCAAGGUGUGAUUAACAUCAGCUUCCCACUCCUCAGGACAGACACACUGUGGGGGCCUGAAUACAUGUUGUAUUGUGAGAUCAGUGUGUGUCUAAGUUACUCCAAACGAGCUGCAGCUGCAGGGUCCUUAGUUGGGCAACAGCUGUAGCUCGUGAGGGUAACUGAGAUAAAUAGGGGUGGGUCAAGAGCCCAAGAGGAGCCCCUGAGAAGACAGAAGAAGAGCCCCAGCAGAGAGGGAAGAACAACGCUGCAGCCAAACAGAGAGAGAGAGAAGGUAUGGAAUCCCCCGGACAGCCGAGAGCUGUGACAGCCUGAGAGCUGGGACUUUACGUGUAACAACAACACACAUCUUCACUUCCCAGGGGAGCACCCAAGCUGUUAAUAAG
rnacentral:lncRNA from 1 species